rnacentral:lncRNA from 1 species
CAUUUUAUUUCCACUACCCUUGAGCUCAAGGCCUGAUCACAUCACAUCCAGACUCCUGCCAAAAUUUUCUCAGCUUCCUGUUAUAUCCUCUCUUCUUCCUCCUCCUAACCCAAUUGGCUCUUCAUGCUGUGCUUAUAAGGAAGAAACUUGAGUACCAGCUACCUGCUGUCUAGGGUGAGCCUUUACUCAGGAUUCCCAAAAUCAAGGGUCCUGCCACUGACUUUAGAAGUAAAUGGAACUUGUUGCCAAAAGAAAACAAGAAGCCAGGGCAAAAGAGAGAGCGCAAGUUCUUAAGCACUGAGGCAGAGCACAUGUAACCCAUCCAAAGGGACCA